rnacentral:rRNA from 1 species
GACGAACGCUGGCGGCGUGCUUAACACAUGCAAGUCGAACGCGCCUGUCCUCUGGGUUUCUGGGGGGUGGGUGAGUGGCGAACGGGUGAGUAACACGUGAGUAACCUGCCCCCUUCUUCGGGAUAACGGUCUGAAAGGGCUGCUAAUACCGGGUAUUCACUGGUCUCCGCAUGGGGUCUGGUGGAAAGGUUUUUUUCUGGUGGGGGAUGGGCUCGCGGCCUAUCAGCUUGUUGGUGGGGUGAUGGCCCACCAAGGCUUUGACGGGUAGCCGGCCUGAGAGGGUGACCGGUCACAUUGGGACUGAGAUAAGGCCCAGACUCCUACGGGAGGCAGCAGUGGGGAAUAUUGCACAAUGGGCGCAAGCCUGAUGCAGCGACGCCGCGUGAGGGAUGGAGGCCUUCGGGUUGUGAACCUCUUUCGCCCGUGGUCAAGCCGCGACGUGGGUCGUGGUGAGGGUAGUGGGUAAAGAAGCGCCGGCUAACUACGUG